rnacentral:misc_RNA from 1 species
UCUCCGUAGGUGAACCUGCGGAGGGAUCAUUACAAGAGCGAGGGCCCUCGUGGCCCGAACCUCCAACCCCAUGUUAUCCGACACUGUUGCCUCCGGGGCGACCCGGCCUUCGGGCGUCGGGGCCCCGGGUGGACCAUUCAAACACUGCAUCUUUGCGUCUGAGUACACGAUUGAAUCAAUCAAAACUUUCAACAACGGAUCUCUUGGUUCUGGCAUCGAUGAAGAACGCAGC